CCUACGGGUGGCAGCAGUGAGGAAUAUUGGUCAAUGGACGAGAGUCUGAACCAGCCAAGUAGCGUGAAGGACGACUGCCCUAUGGGUUGUAAACUUCUUUUAUAAAGGAAUAAAACGAGGCACGUGUGCCUUUUUGCAUGUACUUUAUCAAUAAGGAUCGCCUCACUUCGCUCCAGCAGUCGCGGUAAUAUGGAGGAUCCGAGCGUUAUCCGGAUGUAUUGGGUUUAAAGGGAGCGUAGAUGGGUUGUUAAGUCAGUUGUUAAAGUGUGCGGCUCAACCGUAAAAUUGCAAUUGAUACUGGGAGACUGGAGUACAGUAGAGGUAGGCGGAAUUCGAGGUGUAGCGGUGAAAUGCGUAGAUAUCACGAAGAACCCCGAUUGCGAAGGCAGCUUACUAACCUGUGACUGACGUUGAUGCUCGAAAGUGUGGGUAUCAAACAGGAUUAGAUACCCGGGUAGUC
rnacentral:rRNA from 1 species